ensembl:lncRNA
CGUGGAAUGACAGACGCUUUCGACACUUCCGACACUGAUCAAACACACUCGUACUAACUACACAACGGUAUAACUUGAUCUCGUCCCUGACACACACUUACCAACUCCAAAUUCACUCAGGCCAGUUACCCAUUAUUCAUUUACCCUGUAGACACAUGCAUCCAUGUUAAUUCUCUGGAAGUGACAUCCAUACCGACUGUAAAUGUAUGCCUCUGACUCUCUCCUCCUUCGUUCUCUCCUCUCCCCCCCCUUGUUCCUAACCCAGUGAAGACAGAUGACCUGCAGACCAUCAAGAGAGAGCUGGCCCAGAUCAAACACAAAGUGGACUACCUGCUGGAGAGUCUGGAGCGCCUGGGGAAGGACCACAGCAAGAAGUCCGACAUGGAGAGUAGUGGGAAGCCGGAGACAGGGGAGGUGUCUCAUCUCCUCAACUGCGGAGGGAAGGAGGAAAGUCUAAAGAGGGCGAGAGAGAACCAGUCUCUCAACGACUCAGAAGAGGAGGGAGACCUACUGGAGGAAGAGGAGGUGUAGCUUACAUUUUAGCUAGUCGUUUAGUAGAAGCUCUUAUCCAGAGCGACUUACAGUAAGUAGUAAGUGCGAGAGAGAGUGGUCAGGAUGUUUCUUUUACGUGUCUUUGAGAUUUAGUUUAUUCCAGUUUGGAUCAAUUUCAUUUCAAUUCAGGAAGCACACUGACAUUUACAUUUUCCUUUCAAUGAGGAACAUUUGGAAUUGGAAUUUGGUUGACUUUCUGAAUUGACUGGUAUUGAAAUGGAAUUGACCCCAAUCCUGUUCUGGAUGCAGUGUUUCUGAAACUUCUCAGCGGGAACCCCAGCCCUUCCAUGUAUUUGAUCUAUUCCAGAGCUAGCACACCUGAUUCAACUUGUCAACUAAACAAAAUUGUGAAAUGUCUGGGGGUCCCCUCGAGCAGGGGUACCCUACGAGGGCCAGAGCCUGUUGGUUUUCUGUUCUACCUGAUUAUUAAUUGCACACACCUGGUGUCACAGGUCUAAAUCAGUUCCUGACUAGAGGGAAAUAAAAAAUGCAGUGAAACUGGCUUCGAAGUCCAGAGUUGAGUUUGAGAGCCCUAGAGCGUUAUUUCCCAAAAUGUGAGGCUUGUAAGUUAACAUUUUUUUUAAGGAACUCAGUUCGGCUUUAAACUUACUCUUGAAAGGUGCAAUGGUAGAAUGGACGAGGUGCAAUUUCAAAACUGGGUAGUGAAUCGGCAGUUGUCCUCUUUUCAUGUCAGUCAAUGGAUUACCUUUUAGAGAGCUAUUUAUAACUUGUCAGAAAUGUCUAGAUCAACUAGCCCAUGUCAGCUAAUGCUUUUUUUUUUCUCUAAUGUUUUAGCCCAUAGAUAUUGUCAUUUUUAUUUUAUUU